rnacentral:rRNA from 1 species
CGCCCUCUGGCCAUGAAUAUAACAUAGAGGGUCCUGCCUGCCCAGUGACAAAAAGUUAAACGGCCGCGGUAUCUUGACCGUGCGAAGGUAGCAUAAUCACUUGUCUCCUAAAUAGAGACUGGUAUGAAUGGCAAGACGGAACUUAACUGUCUCCUUUUCUCAUAUCCUAAUUUCACUUUCCCGUGAAGAGGCGGGAAAACAUUCGCUAGACGAGAAGACCCUGUCGAGCUUAAGCAGAACGCUAAUUUCUACUUCCUCUUAAUUACAUUCUAAUUUUUUUUCUGUUAAAUUUAACUAAGAGAAAAUUAUUAGUACAAGCUUUGGUUGGGGCAACCACGGAGAAGAAAAAUCCUCCGCUUACAACAGAUAAAAACAAGACCCUACAAGUCUAAUAUUGUAUAAACAAGUCAACUGAUCCACCACGGUGAUCAAAGGAAAAAGUUACCGCAGGGAUAACAGCGUUAUCUUUUCUGAGAGUUCACAUUGACGAAAAGGUUUGCGACCUCGAUGUUGGAUCGGGACAUCCUAAGGGUGCAGAAGCUUUUAAGGGUUGGUCUGUUCGACCAUUAAAGUCCU